rnacentral:tRNA from 1 species
ACACAUGUGGCCGAAUGGAUAAGGCAUUGGAAUUGGAAUCAUCAACUUCGGAAAUAGGUAGGUUCGAAUCCUAUUAUGUGGA